GACGAACGCUGGCGGCGUGCUUAACACAUGCAAGUCGAACGGAAAGGCCCUGCUUGCCGGGUACUCGAGUGGCGAACGGGUGAGUAACACGUGGGUGAUCUGCCCUUCACUUCGGGAUAAGCCUGGGAAACUGGGUCUAAUACCGGAUAGGAGCCAUUUUUAGUGUGAUGGUUGGAAAGUUUUUUCGGUGUAGGAUGAGCUCGCGGCCUAUCAGCUUGUUGGUGGGGUAAUGGCCUACCAAGGCGGCGACGGGUAGCCGGCCUGAGAGGGUGGACGGCCACAGUGGGACUGAGAGACGGCCCAGACUCCUACGGGAGGCAGCAGUGGGGAAUAUUGCACAAUGGGCGCAAGCCUGAUGCAGCGACGCCGCGUGGGGGAUGACGGCCUUCGGGUUGUAAACGCCUUUCGCUAGGGACGAAGCUUUUUGUGACGGUACCUAGAGAAGAAGCACCGGCUAACUACGUG
rnacentral:rRNA from 1 species